AGCACUUGUUUUUUUGUUCAACUGGUAGAAAAAGGCAAGGAAGACAGGUGAAAAAAUAAAUCCUUUUUUGCAACUCAAAAUUCAUUUCUCAGCAUGAGUUUUGAUACAUACAAGAAGAAAUAUG
rnacentral:snoRNA from 1 species